UACGAAGGUGGCUAGCGUUGUUCGGAAUUACUGGGCGUAAAGCGCACGUAGGCGGGUCGUUAAGUCAGGGGUGAAAUCCCGGAGCUCAACUCCGGAACUGCCUUUGAUACUGGCGACCUUGAGGCCGGAAGAGGUUAGUGGAAUUCCCAGUGUAGAGGUGAAAUUCGUAGAUAUUGGGAAGAACACCAGUGGCGAAGGCGGCUAACUGGUCCGGAUCUGACGCUGAGGUGCGAAAGCGUGGGGAGCAAACAGG
rnacentral:rRNA from 1 species